UUUCAGUCCGGAUGGUCUCAACACCACAUUGCUUUCUCAAAGCUGCGUCCUGGAAAACAGUUCCUUGUGUGGGAAAGCUAGGCAGAAGGUACUUUCCAAGGGCGGGGAGUGGGUGAGGAGCCGCCGACUUCCGGGUCCAGCUUCCGGGUCAAACAGCGAUCACAUCCUCCCCACGACCUCCUUCAAAAGCCGGAGCAAUAGGUUCUUUGAAGUGAGACAAAAUUACUAAGGGAGCUAAAGAGCACAAACCAUGCUUAAUAAGAAUGAAACUGAAUUGGGAGGAAAAUUAGCUAUAACGUACAUUUAGAAAGGGAAGAAACGUCACUGUUGAACCUGAAAACGAUCAUUUUCAAAUUACGCCUGGGGCCACGCACGAGGGGACUGCAAAAUGAAAUCUUGGCUUCUCACUUUGAAAAUGCACUGGAGUUUGACAUGAACGUACACAUUUGACUUUUGCAUUCUGCCGGUUGGUUACACCACAGGACAGCGCGGGUCAGGGACAUCUGUGUCUGAAAGCACUGGAAACUUUCACCAGGUCUCUCGGAGUCUUUCUGGUCCAACAUCUCACAGGGUUGCUAUAACUUCAAUGAACUAUAUACCAGGACUCUUUUCCGUGGAGGCAAGGUACACUCCUGUCUGAAGAACAACUCUUCCGCAGAGGGUCCUGAGCAGAAAUCACAAGGUGAAGUCUGAUGGGACACUGGAGCAUGCCAGCGAGGAGAGACGAUACACACAUUGUGUGUAUCAGCCAUUCCUUGACACCCCAUUCAUAUUCCUGAUGCCCCAUGAGCACAGAGUUCUAGGGGACCCAUGAUGCGUUGGGUGUUCAAUGAGGCUCCAAUCAAGUACAUGUAAGUAUAUUACACCGACAACAGAGCAAGUGGUGGUGUGGGUGCUGACAGCCUUGAGAGGCGGUGCUUUCUGUUCAAACCAGAAUUUGCUUUUAAAACAGACAGAAGGCAGUGGUGACCUAAGAAGCAUGAACAACCAAAGAACCCUAUCCGAUCCUUCCUUACUUAUGUUACUGCUGUGAUUGAAUUGGGUCCUGCUGCUUGCUGCGUACAGAAUCAGUUACAUACUGACAAACGGUAGAAAGGAAAGGUGCUUUUAAUCAGAAUGCCGGCAAUCUGCGGAGACGGUGGACUCAAGUGUUCCCCAAAAACAGCCUCUGAAGAUUCUGCUCGGCCAUGAAAGUUUUAAAGGAAAGGAAGGAAGCAAUCUCAGUUAAUCAUUGAGGUGAGGGUCAGAGUCAUCGCCAUUCCCCACUGUGUGCAGGCUUGUCACUCGUGAUCUUCCUCUAGAUGUCAUCUUGUUCAUAGAACUUGGUCACACAGUUUGUUUGGAAGAUUACUGAAAGGGAAGCUAGGGAAGACAUCUUGUUAUCUGUUAAUUACUUAUUCUUCAUUUCUACUUCUUUGAUCUACGGAAAGAACUGACCAGUUAGGGAAGGUAUUUAUAUAUAUAUAUAAAUUUAUUUAUUUGUUUUUAUUUUUGGCCGUGUUGGGUCUUCGUUGCUGUGUGCGGGCUUUCUCUGCUUGCGGAGAGCAAGGGCUACUCUUCGUUGCGGUGCGCAGGCUUCUCAUUGCGGUGGCUUCUCUUGUUGCGGAGCACGGGCUCUAGGCGCGCGGGCUACAGUAGUUGUGGCUCGCGGGCUCUAGAGCGCAGGCUCAAUAGUUGUGGAGUACGGGCUUAAUUGCUCCGUGGCAUCUUCCCGGGCCAGGGAAGAUGCUAGGGCCAGAGAUGAGUAGAGCAUGGAGGUGCUUGGUUUAAAAGUUAGUUACAAUAUAGUUUUGUUAAAGUGACAAGAAAAGGGGCUUCCUGCUGAGGGUCGUUUCCUGCAAAGAGCUGCUUACAUUACUUCCCUGUAUUAGCCAACCACUCACCCUGAAAUGUAGAAGGAGCGGGAAAGAUAGAGGAGGCCAUAGAGACUUUUCCUUUCUCAUCCAUAAGCCAAAAAUAGACAGUAUUGAUAGAAUGCAUGCAUUUCAAGAAGUGAAAUAAAAAUAAUUAGAUUAGUCUUGUGCAGCACUGUGCUGGAAAAAAUUAAAAAUAUAUAUGCGUGCAUGGGCUACAAAAUAUGAAUUGUGUAAUUCAUGCGAGUUAAAUGCUCUUAUAUUUUCAUUAAAUCUGGCAUUGCAUAAUGUAAAUUUGGAUGGUAAAAUUCAUGUCGAUAAUUUAAAUUCUAAAUUUUUAUUUAUUUAUGAACAACAUAGAAAGCAAAUUUAAAAAAACAUGACAAGUUGAGGGAGAGACAGUGGAAGAAAGGAAAAAGCUUUAUAAUUUACUACCUUAGGGCGUUUUUUCCUUGCUUUUUGAACAAGGGAGCCCACAUUUUCAUCUUGCUCUGGGCUCACAAAUUAUGUAGCUGGUGCCGCCAGAAGAAUAUGGUGUCCUGGAGUCCAAGUGAAGAAAGUGCUUCCAGGAGGAGGGAGGGAUCUGUCAACUAUGUCAAAUGCUGCUGAGAAUUGAGUGAGAUAAGAACAGAAAAUCAAUCAUUACCUUUGGCAUGGAGACUAUCCAGUUAAAGUCAAUUCUGUCAGAGAUGGUGAAGGAUAUGUAUAUAAUAAUUUAACAUUAGUAAAAAUAAAGGGGGAGAUUUAUACACUCAUUUUUAUGUGUGAUGUUUUCUUUUAAAUAUAUUAGCUUUAUUCUAAUUAUGUUUCAAGAAUAAAUUAGCAUUUGUUCAAUGAUAAAGUGGAAUCGCCCUAAAACUGAAACAACUUAAGAAAUAUAAUUAAAUUAUUACUGUUUAUAUCUUCUGUUGCGGCAGGUUUAAAAAUGUUAUUUUAUUUUUCUUUCUCUUUAUUUUCUUUCUGUUUUUAUUUUUCGCCUUUACUUUCAAGAUGUCAACACAAAAUGGAGUAAAUUAUAAUUAGAUCAAAUUGGCACAAAAAAGUUUGUUAAAUAAAAACAUGUAUGUUUCCUACAUGAAAUGUAGUUGUAAUACAACGACCAAAACCCUGCCGUCUUCAUUAUUAUUAUUACCGUAAAAAUACAAUUUUUGAGUUUAUUCUGUAGUACCUGAAGUCAGCCACAAGAUGGCAGAUGUUACCAUAGUCAACAAAUCGUUACUUGAAACUGGAUAUAAGAUCACUUAAAAUUAUGAUUCUGCAGAAACGUAAAACCCUAUUGAUUCAUUCUCCCCACCCUUCCUGCUCUUGAAGAACUCAUUUUGGGGGCUUGAAAAAGCUUUCCCAUAUACAUAUACAAGAUGGAUAAUUCAGAAAGCAAUUCUGGAGUCCUAUCAGCUCCAUAAAACAUAAUAUUAAAUCACAAAACUGAGUAACAAAUUGCAUUUAAAUGACUAUGAAGAUGAAUGGCAGUGUUGUACUGGAAUGUUUUCAACCAAGGCCAAAUGGAUAACCACAUUGAUCUUGCAUUUUAUAUCUUACAAAGAAGGACAUGAUGUAAAUAAAGAUCACAAAGCAAAGCUAAUAUAUUUACUGCUAUGUUAAACUAGUUACAGAGGAUUAAAAAAAAUUUUGAUAAAUUGUUUGUUCAUUUGAUUACUAUGUUGGUUAUUUGUUCCUUAUAUGUCAGUUGCAAUUGAAGAGUACAGUGAGGAGGAAGAAACCUGAGCUGUUAGAAUAAUGUUAUCUGCAGAGUUUAAUGCUGUCCCCUACAUAUAAAGAUUGAAUUUUAGAAUCUGCUAGAGAUUAUAAUUCUAACUAAUCAAAUUCCUUUUGUGGGGUUGCACAUUAUAAUACUUAUAUUUUGACUGAUAACUUGAAAUAUAUUUAAGCAAAAGGUGAACCUUUGUAAGUUUGUAAUUUUCCUAAGGUAAUGCAAGUACUACUCUUCACUUAUGAAAAAGGGAUUUUUUUUUUCUGUUUGACUAUU